rnacentral:rRNA from 1 species
UACGGGGGGGGGCAAGCGUUGUUCGGAUUCAUUGGGCGUAAAGGGUGCGUAGGCGGCGCGGUAAGUCGGGUGUGAAAUCUCGGGGCUUAACUCCGAAACUGCAUUCGAUACUGCCGUGCUUGAGGACUGGAGAGGAGACUGGAAUUUACGGUGUAGCGGUGAAAUGCGUAGAUAUCGUAAGGAAGACCAGUGGCGAAGGCGGGUCUCUGGGCCGAUACUGACGCUGAGGAGCGAAAGCGUGGGGGAGCGAACAGG